rnacentral:rRNA from 1 species
UACGUAGGGGGCAAGCGUUGUCCGGAUUUAUUGGGCGUAAAGAGCGUGUAGGCGGCCUGAAAGGUCAGCUGUGAAAACUCGAGGCUCAACCUCGAGACGUCGGUUGAAACCAUCUGGCUAGAGUCCGGAAGAGGAGAGUGGAAUUCCCGGUGUAGCGGUGAAAUGCGCAGAUAUCGGGGAGGAACACCAGUGGCGAAAGGCGGCUCACUGGGACCGGAACUGACGCUGAGGCGCGAAAGCGUGGGGAGCAAACAGG